rnacentral:rRNA from 1 species
CGGGGGGAGCAAGCGUUGUUCGGAUUUACUGGGCGUAAAGGGCGCGUAGGCGGCCACCGCAAGUCGACUGUGAAAUCUCCGGGCUUAACCCGGAAAGGUCAGCCGAUACUGCGGGGCUAGAGUGCAGAAGGGGCAACUGGAAUUCUCGGUGUAGCGGUGAAAUGCGUAGAUAUCGAGAGGAACACCUGCGGCGAAGGCGGGUUGCUGGGCUGACACUGACGCUGAUGCGCGAAAGCGUGGGGAGCAAACAGGAUUAGAUACCCUGGUAGUCCACGCCCUAAACGAUGUCAACUGGUUGUUGGGUCUUUACUGACUCAGUAACGAAGCUAACGCGUGAAGUUGACCGCCUGGGGAGUACGGCCGCAAGGUUG